GGGGCGCGAAGUUGCCUCGCGGUGCUGCAAAUGCUCAGCUCCGCUGCGAGAGGGGUUGGCGCUGAGGGGAGAGUUAAAGGCGGGCGGGAGGACUCCCAGUCCCAGCUUCUGGCCCCGGAACGCGCUGAAAAGUUGCUAGGAGGAAAAAGACAGACGGCAAGAUUUUGGAAAUCCCAGCGAUUCCAAAUCCUUUUCCUGAGCUGUGUUGUUCUCCAUUUGCAUCAGUUUUCUCAGCAAGUCUGUUGCCCAAGGCAACUUCAAGAACUAAACAGGUAAGAUUUAUAAAUUAUCAUUUGACAAAUAAUAAACUGGUUUCAUGAAGGCUUGAAGAAAACCCAAGUUACCUAUUACAGUAUUUUUUCUAAUAAGGAUGUUCCGUAUUCCUGUAAUUUGGUGUAAUUUUCUCCAUAGACCAUUACUGGUUAUAGAAAAUGAGGUUUCAGAAUCUGUGACUUAGAAAUCGACUGUUCUUUCACAGACCGUAAAUGUGACUGUGCAAUUUUUUUUUUUUUUUGAUGAAGUGGAACAGGGGGCAGACAGUAUUUUACAUCCUUAAAUAAGAAGUUAAUUUCUUUCUUCCUCUCUACCUUCAAUUAUUGUCAUUAGUGCUAUAACAUGGAGGGUUUUGACAAUCACUCAACAGCUCCUUUUAUCUGGAGGUCUAAUUUUGCUAGGAUAAUUGAAUGAAAAGGUAACUGCCAGGGAAGGAAUAAAUGCUUUGGACACGGCUAUGUUUUAUGUGGGCAUACAGUUGAUAUUACAUAUAUAAGUGUAUAUCUGUGUAUAUUUUGUACACAUGUUUAUAAUGAUUGUUACGCAUGUAUCUAACGUAUGUCUUGUUACUGUGCUUCUAUAAACACCCUAAAAUGUAAGUGAAGGGCAGUUGUGAGGGGGAGGACCGACAGAGCUGGUGUGCUCCUAGUGCAGCGUAUUCCUUGUCCCAGGCAGGGACAGAGGAUAAAGAGGCAGAGCUUCCAAUUAACGGAGAUUGCUGAUGUUGAUGGUUUAUUUUAGUCUUUAAAAACUUACCUGUCUCAUUUCUUUCUUCUUUUUUUGAGACUGGAAAGAAUUCUAACAUGGAGCAUUCAUGUGAUUAAGGGUGCUACCUCUUUCACAUUCUGUGUUUUGGUGGUCUGUGAGAUCUCUGUUCUAAUAAUUUUAGGAGCAAUAAUGGAGGUGUAAAAGCUUAUACUGGUUUUUUUUCUCUUUUUUUUUUUUUUCCAUCAUGAGUUUGUUGAGAAGUUAAAGUUUCUUGUAACUGUACUGACUUUACUGACUUUUCUGAAAGUGACCAGCCAAGGCUGUUUCUGUGUACCUGCUGGGAAGAACAGAUGCAAGAGACUUGCCUAGCAAAUUUCUGGGUUGAUGCAUUAAUGAGAUCCCUUUUUUUUUUUCCUUUUUUCUUCCUCUCCCCCUCCCCCCCCCCCACCCCCCCUUAUGUCUGGUAAACUCCACAGAUUCUAUCUUGCCAUGUACUACAUAUUCUCUAAAAAUUACUGUGGUGGCUUUCUGGACUAUUUGUAUUGCUUGCUUUUCUUUCCGUCAACAGCAAUACUAAUGUGAGGUAUUUCUGGUCAGUUUAUAUGUAAGCAUGGCUGAUACAGUAGGGUAGAAUCAUGCUAUCGUGCUAGUUUCAUGCCUGGGAAAGGCUGAAGUAUUCAUAGUCUUUUCACAGAGGCAGGAAAAACACCAUCUUUCAGAACAUAAGGACUGGAAGCCACAUUUAAAAAAUUUUGUUCAAAUCACUCAUGUUGCUGGCUUAAAUUGUGCUCACUGUGGUGAUCUUUUUGCUUGCAACUGAAAGGUAUAGAUUUCCCAAGCAUGAAUUAAUAAGCAAAGGUCAAUUGUCUGCUUUUGUGGCCUGUCAUGGUUAAAAUUACUGACUGGCAUGAUCAGUUAAGCCAGCUAAAUGUAAGCUUCAGGCUCUCAGAAGCUGAAGUUCCUGUCUUGACAGAUUUCACUUCUGUUUCUUCUUAAGCACUCUUAUUAUACAUUUUAUGACAGUUUCUCCUUGCAGUCCUUCCGUUUCUCCUGGUUUUCCACUGAAGAAUAUAGUACUCUCUGGUAGAAGCAGGAACAAAAACAGCUGGUUUACUUGCCAAGUUAAAACAAUAAAAGCGUACAUGGAGGGCCUGAUCCAUUUGCCAGAGUGCUGAAAAAUUUAGAGUCUUUAUGUUUUCUGGAGGUAUUCUUACAUGACUGUAUUUACUAUCCAAAAGCCUUUUACCUAGGUGUGGAGAAAUGGCACUGGGCUAGGUAGGGCAUUUGUCAGACUCAGCAUGACUGGUCUUUUGUUAUUAAUCUAAUGUUAUUAAAGUUGAAGUCUGAAUGGGAAUUACUGAGUUAAACCCAUAUAUCUGAAAUUCAAGUUGAAGUCUUCUAAUAUCUUUGUGAAAUUACUUAACUGUGAAAAGGAGAGGGAGUGAAUGCUAAGUGGAUCUGCAAAUAGGAGGAGCAAACUGGCUUUGGCUUUGACUUCCAACAGUUGGCUGUGGAGGCCGUGCUUGGAAGCAUGGUAUUUCCAUACCAUGUUCAGGUUUUGUCUACUUUGCAAAAACUCUGUCUGCACACACCUAAUCAGUGUGUACUGAAACCACUAACUGAAUAUAGCCCCAAGGUCACACAUAUUACUGUUGCAGUUUCCUAACUUUAAGAUAAGUGAACUUAAAGAUCUUAAAGAUUUAAGAUAACUUAAGCACUCUUUUUUUCUUGUUCUUCUACUACUUUUUUGUUCUUUGUGUACAGUGUUGACAGCUGCCAGGAUAUUUGAAUAUUUUCUGCUGCCUCUGUGAUGAUCUACAUAUGUUUUCAAUUAUUCUCAUUUUAGAUUGCUUUCUUUUUGAUUUAGUUUGUGCUAUGCUUUUAAUUUCAGGAAUAAUAAAGAAAAAUUACAGAGUGAGUUUCUCCUUAUGUCUAAUAGGUAACUAUAAUCAAAAUAUGUGUUUCUAAAAUUAAAAAAAAAAAAAAGUGUACAACUCUUUUGUCUUAUUUUUAUCUCCAGAAGAGAUUAUUUGUUCCUAGGGAAAUACCCAUUGGUGCCAUUAUCACUCUCAUAACAUCUAUGACAUCUGAAGAGAUGGAAUACUUAAAUAGCUUUCUUUUUCAAAAUAUAUUACUAACAUUAUUUUGAACUCUUGUUUUCCUAAGCUGAAGUUCUCGCUGUCUUUUCAUAAUCUGUUACCAUGAGCCUCUUAAAACAUUGAACGUGCUGUCUGAACAGCAUGUCUGUUUGUGGGGCUGACUUAUUGGAAAUAAGUUUGUAAAAGCAAAAUGGUAAAAGCCACACAGCAGAAUAGUGGGUUGCCUCUGUGCUUGGAAAGUGGGACAUCUGUGUGUCUGAACAUUGUUCAAUCUGUCUCAUCAACACAGCUGUUGGUCUCCUUAUUUCUCCUCUGUUUGGGAAGUGUUUUGUGUUAAAUCCUCAGACUCAUAAUCCUAACAUGUUAACAGUAAUUAAAAUGAGCUUACUUUCAGAGGCAAACUUGACUAUUUAUUGUCUUUCUUCCUUUCCCCCUUGCUUUCCCCCUCACUUUCCAUCUCUUAAAAAAAAAAAAGUGAGAGGGAGGUUAUGGAGCUCUAAACAACAAAUGGUAGCAUAGAGUCAGUAUCUGAUUCUCCCAGAGGGGUAACUAGGAGUGGAAAGAAGCAGCCUGCAUUGAGCAUGCUGAGACUUGCAGACCUGUGCCACAUCUGCCUUCUUCUCAGGGGAGCAUUUCAUGGACAUGGUUGUCAUGGUUUUAUGUUUUUUCCUUGGUAUUCCAUAUCAUAGCAUCAUGCAGUGCACUGGGAGCUAAAGAGUUAAUGCUGCAGUUCCGUGGACUGUCAGUAUUUCUGGUCUCUUGGUCUCAGAAGAGAAGUAUGAACUGCAGCUCCCAGAAGAUGUCAUUUUUCAGUUUCUGUUUUCUGUUUGGAGGGAAAGAAGAAAUGAUCUGGGAUUCACGAGAUUUUCCUCUUUGCUCGCUGGCCGCUUCACCUACAGCAUUAGAGUAAGGACUUCAGUUUUGGAAACAAUUUCUCAUUUUAUUUGACUUAUUAGUUUCAGUUCCAAUCACAUUGUAUUACACUGUGUUGUCUCACAUUCCACUAGUAUAUCUAGUAAACUAGGUUUUUUCCCUUAUGUCAUUGCCACUGUUUUCCUUCAUCCAGGUUCAUCUUCCUACAUUUUCCUUUCACCCCUCCCCCCUUCUUCCCAGUCUGUGGACCCAUGGGUCCCUUUGCUCCUUUUGUCAAGGAAACUUGGCCUAACCGUGACAUGGUCCCAUGGAGCUGAUCACACCUGUGUUUGGGAACAGGUACUUUGAGAUGUACCAUGAAGGGGAGUGAGUUUCACUUUUUAAUAUCCUCACCCUUAAGAGGGUAAUAUGGAGAUGAAAUCAACAGCUGAAUGUAUGGAGGGUAAAACCAUUUUGUGGAUUAUAUAAUCUACUCUGUAUGAAAUCAUCAAGUUUGGUGUCCUUGGAAGAAAAAUAGAAGGGGAUUGAGUGCUUUUGAUAUAAAUAGCAUUUUAUUUGGUGGAGAAGCUUAUUCUGGAUGUCAUCUCCAAGCAAGUGGAUGAAAAGAAGGUGUUAUCAGAAACAGUGGAAGUAGUCUACAUGGAUUCACCAAGGGGAAAUCAUGCUUGACCAAUCUGGUAGCUUUCUAUGAUACUGUGACUGGCUGAGUAGGUGGGGAGAGAGCAGUGGAUGUUGUGUACCUUGACUCCUGCAAGGCUUUUGACACUGUCUCCCAUAACAUCCUCUUAAGUAAGCUCAGGAAGUGUGGGAUUGACCAAUGGUCAGUGAGGUGGUCUGAGAACUGUUGACUAGCAGAGCUCAGAGAGUUCUGUUCAGUGGUGUAGAGUCUAGUUGGAGGCUGUAGCUACCAAUGUUCCCCAGGAUCCUGUUUUGUACAACAUCAUCAGUGACCUGAGUGAAGAGAUAGAGUGCAACCUCAUCAAGUUUGCUAAGGAUACAAAGCUGGUCUGUGCUUUGGUGUAACACACCAGAAGGCGGUGCUGCCAUUCAGCAAGACCUGUACAGGCUGGAGAGUUGGGUGGACAGGAACCUUUUGAUGUUCAACAAGGGCAAGUUCAGAGUCCUACACCUGUAGAGGAAUAAUUGCAUGCGUCAGUACAAAUUAGGGGCUGAGCUGCUAGAAAGGAGCCCUACAGAGAAGGACCUGUUGACCAUGUGCCAGCAGUGUGCUCAUGUGGCCAAGAAGGCCAGUAGCAUUGGCAUCAUGGAGUGCAUUAAAAGGCCAGUAGGGUGCACUAAAAAGAGCGCGGCCAGCAGGUCAAGGGAGGUGAUCCUCCCCCUCUACUCUGUCCUAGUGAGACUACAUCUGGAGUAUUAUCAAAAAAGACAGGUAACUUCUGGAGAGAGUCCAGUGGAGGGCUUCGAAGACAAUGAGGGACCUGGAGCAUCAAACUUACGAGAAAAGACUGAGAGACAUGGAACAGUUCAGCCUGGAGAAGAGAAGACUGAGGACAUAUCUUAGCAAUGCUUACAAAUAUCUGAAGGACAGGUGUCAAGAGAAUGGGGCCAGGUUCUUUUAAGUGGUGCUCAGCAACAGUACAAGGAGCAGUGGGCACAACCUAAAACAUAGGGAGUUACAUAUGCACAUGAGGAAAGACUUCUUUAUUUUGAGGAUGACAGAGCCCUGAAACAAACUGCCCAGAGAGAUGGUGGAGUCUCCUUGUCUGGAGAUACUCAAAACAUUCCUGGAUGCUUUCCUCUGAAACCUUCUGUAGGGAAGCUGUUUUGGAAGUGGUGUUGGACUAGAUGGCCUCCAGAGGUCCUUUCCAACCCCUAUGAUUGUAUGCUAAGAGCAUAGCGGGAAAUGUUCCUUUUCUUGACAGUAUUUUAGGUGUUUGCUGUUGUUAGAUGAAACCAGUGAGCUCACAUACAGAAACCUAAUUGUGUCUUGGAGUCCAUGUUCUGUAAGAACUGUCAAGGAAUUGAACAUGUAAAACAGUUGUGCAUUUGUUGUUUUAAUUUUCAAAAUUAAUAACUAGUAUUAUUGUCUCCAAUUAAGAUCAAAAUGGAUAUAAAUAGGGGAAAAUGUUUCUUGUAGGAAAUAACUUUCCAUUCACUGGUAUGCUUUCAGCUUUCUCUGGUCAAAUGAACUAGAACCAACUUACUAUAUAUUUAUUAUUAAUUUUUAAGUCUUUUUGAAAGCAAAACCUGAAUAAUUUGCAUCGGAGUGCCAGUUCUUCCCCUGUUCAAGGAUAAGCCGAAGAAGUGUUUCAUCACAAAAGUAGUUCAAGGUAAUUAGUGCCUUGUUUCUUUAAAUUCAAUUAGAAGUGCAAAAAUAAAUCUGAAGUGAAUCUCAAGGGGAAGAACACUCAAUUUUUUUGGUAUAUUUUCUUGCCUCUUUUGUCUUCAUUGAUAUUCUAAACAAGUAGAUAUUUUUAUCGUUUAGAAUCCAAAUACACUCUCACACUGUUAUUUCCAGGAAAUCAUUUGUAUAAAAAAACCCCUCAAAUACACAUAUUUGAUUGUAGGUAGAUCAAUCUGAAAGUAAUGCCUCCUAUUUAUUUCCAUGGAGAUUCUAACUCAUACUGAGAGCACAAUAACACUGUUUGAUAGAGCAAAUUCUC
ensembl:lncRNA